rnacentral:rRNA from 1 species
ACGGGGUGCAGCAGGCGCGAAACCUUUACAAUGCACGCAAGUGUGAUAAGGGAGUCCCAAGUGCUUAUGCUUUGCAUAGGCUUUUGCCAAGAGUAAAUAUCUUGGCGAAUAAGUGGUGGGUAAGACUGGUGCCAGCAGCCGCGGUAACACCAGCGCCACAAGUGGCAAUCGUAUUUAUUGGGCCUAAAGCGUCCGUAGCCGGUUUGAUAAGUCUUUUGUGAAAUCGUUGUGCUUAACAUAACGGUGUGCAAAAGAUACUGUCAGACUUGGAACUGGGAAGAGCUAGAGGUAUUCUGGGGGGAGCGGUAAAAUGCUAUAAUCCCCGGAGGACCACCAGUGGCGAAAGCGUCUAGCUAGAACAGCUUCGACGGUGAGGGACGAAAGCCAGGGGAGCAAAACGGAUUAGAUACCCGAGUAGUCCUGGCCAUAAACGCUGCGAGCAAGGUGUCACAUAUCCUCCGUGGAUGUGUGGUGUCGAAAUGAAGAUGUUAAGCUCGCCGCCUGGGAAGUAUGGUCGCAAGGCUGAAACUUAAAGGAAUUGGCGGGGGAGCACCACAAGGGGUGCGGCGUGCGGUUUAAUCUAAUUCAACACAGAGAAUCUCACCAGGAGCGACGGCAGAAUGAAGGUCAGUCUAAAGGGCUUACCAGACGAGCCGAGAGGUAGUGCAUGGCCGUCGUCAGCUCGUGCCGUAAGGUAUCCUCUUAAGUGAGGCAACGAGCGAGACCUGUAUCUACAAUUGCUAACGACUCUUUUAG